UGGGCAGUAUCUGAUUGAACUGCACCAUUAUUGUAAGCGAUGAAGAAAAAUAAUUUGGAUUCUGCCUUGAUCCAACAACGGACUGGGACAGAGGG
rfam:Bacillus cereus Rock3-44 chromosome, whole genome shotgun sequence.